CCUACGGGGGACAGCAGUGAGGAAUAUUGGUCAAUGGACGAGAGUCUGAACCAGCCAAGUAGCGUGAAGGAUGACUGCCCUAUGGGUUGUAAACUUCUUUUAUAAAGGAAUAAAACGAGGCACGUGUGCCUUUUUGCAUGUACUUUAUGAAUAAGGAUCGGCUAACUCCGUGCCAGCAGCCGCGGUAAUACGGAGGAUCCGAGCGUUAUCCGGAUUUAUUGGGUUUAAAGGGAGCGUAGAUGGGUUGUUAAGUCAGUUGUGAAAGUUUGCGGCUCAACCGUAAAAUUGCAAUUGAUACUGGCAGUCGUGAGUACAGUUGAGGUAGGCGGAAUUCGUGGUGUAGCGGUGAAAUGCUUAGAUAUCACGAAGAACUCCGAUUGCGAAGGCAGCUUACUAAACUGCCACUGACAUUGAUGCUCGAAAGUGUGGGUAUCAAACAGGAUUAGAUACCCCUGUAGUC
rnacentral:rRNA from 1 species